rnacentral:lncRNA from 1 species
AGACCCGGAAGUGGAUCGUGCGGAGCAAGCAUCACACCAUGGCGUAUGAGUGUUCCUCUGUGUAGACUCAACCUGCGCCUCGCCGUCCCCCAUUCGCACACCCGAUGCCCGGGGGUCGCUACGGACUUAAAAUCUCCGCACCGCACCCUCCACCUCAGAUGGGGUCUUACUAUGUUGCCCAGGCUGGAUUCAGUGCCGAGUCUCAAAGGCCAAGAAACGUUCCUGGAUCCGAACACUGCCCCCUGACGACCUAGAGAGAUCCCGGCUCCCAGCCCACUGAGUGGCUUCAGCCUCGCUGGCACCUCCCAACUCCUGGCCUCUCUGCACGAGGCGCCUGCCCCGGGCCCCGCCUACAGGGGACCCAGCUCUUCUUGCAGCCACUGGAAGCUGAUCACCUGGAGUGAAGACCUCACACGAAGAAGUCUGGAAGAAGAGGAAGAGGAAAGAAAAGGAGUCAGGGAUGGCCCUUACUCAGGUAAAGUGAUACUCCUGGUGGAUUGUUCUUUUAUUUCUUCCUGAAAUGCCUGGCAUUGGCAUUGCGAAUCUUCUCUGAGUCUGAAGCGUCCUGCCUGACAUGUUUGCUAGCACUCACCCGCGCCUUCCCU